UACGUAGGGAGCGAGCGUUGUCCGGAAUUAUUGGGUGUAAAGGGUGCGUAGGCGGCUAUGUAAGUCAGACGUGUAAUGCAGGGGCUUAACCUCUGAACUGCGUUUGAAACUGUGUAGCUUGAGUGGAGUAGAGGCAGAUGGAAUUUCCAGUGUAGCGGUGGAAUGCGUAGAUAUUGGAAGGAACAUCAGUGGCGAAGGCGGUCUGCUGGGCUCUUACUGACGCUGAGGCACGAAAGCAUGGGGAGCAAACA
rnacentral:rRNA from 1 species